rnacentral:rRNA from 1 species
GAACGCUAGCGGCAGGCUUAAUACAUGCAAGUCGAGGGGCAGCGCGAUAUAGCAAUAUGUUGGCGGCGACCGGCAAACGGGUGCGGAACACGUACACAACCUUCCUUGAAUAGGGGGAUAGCCCAUAGAAAUGUGGAUUAAUACCCCGUAAUAUAGCGGUGUGGCAUCACACUGUUAUUAUAGUUUCGACGAUUCGAGAUGGGUGUGCGGCUGAUUAGGUAGUUGGCGGGGUAAAGGCCCACCAAGCCUUCGAUCAGUAGCUGAUGUGAGAGCAUGAUCAGCCACACGGGCACUGAGACACGGGCCCGACUCCUACGGGAGGCAGCAGUAAGGAAUAUUGGUCAAUGGACGCAAGUCUGAACCAGCCAUGCCGCGUGAAGGAUGAAGGUCCUCUGGAUUGUAAACUUCUUUUAUAGGGGGCGAAAAAAGGUUUUUCUAAAUCACUUGACAGUACCCUAUGAAUAAGCACCGGCUAACUCCGUGCCAGCAGCCGCGGUAAUACGGAGGGUGCAAGCGUUAUCCGGAUUCACUGGGUUUAAAGGGUGCGUAGGCGGGUAGGUAAGUCAGAGGUGAAAUCCUGGAGCUUAACUCCAGAACUGCCUUUGAUACUAUCUAUCUUGAAUAUGGUGGAGGUAAGCGGAAUAUGUCAUGUAGCGGUGAAAUGCAUAGAUAUGACAUAGAACACCUAUUGCGAAGGCAGCUUACUACGCCUAUAUUGACGCUGAGGCACGAAGCGUGGGGAUCAAACAGG